GCCUACGGGAGGCAGCAGUGGGGAAUAUUGCGCAAUGGGCGAAAGCCUGACGCAGCGACGCCGCGUGAGGGACGACGGCCUUCGGGUUGUAAACCUCUUUCAGCAGGGACGAAGCGAAAGUGACGGUACCUGCAGAAGAAGCACCGGCCAACUACGUGCCAGCAGCCGCGGUAAUACGUAGGGUGCAAGCGUUGUCCGGAAUUAUUGGGCGUAAAGAGCUCGUAGGCGGUCUGUCACGUCGGAUGUGAAAACUCGGGGCUCAACCCCGAGCCUGCAUUCGAUACGGGCAGACUUGAGUUCGGCAGGGGAGACUGGAAUUCCUGGUGUAGCGGUGAAAUGCGCAGAUAUCAGGAGGAACACCGGUGGCGAAGGCGGGUCUCUGGGCCGAUACUGACGCUGAGGAGCGAAAGCGUGGGGAGCGAACAGGAUUAGAUACCCCGGUAGUC
rnacentral:rRNA from 1 species